rnacentral:rRNA from 1 species
GUGAGCCGGGAAUGGAAAGACCGGUACAAGCGAGGUAGGAGAAGAGUUGGCAAAUCCGCUCUUCAAUCUGAAGACGUGAUGUGGACUGAAAAUAAGUAGGGAAGCACGUGAGCUGACUGUCAAGAAAAGCCGCUAUUGUUUGCAGGAUACCCGUACCGUAAACCGACACAGGUGGAUGAGGAGAGAAUCCUAAGGCCGACGGGAGAAGCAUUGUUAAGGAACUCGGCAAAAUGACUCCGUAACUUCGGGAGAAGGAGUGCCAGUAAGAUGGCCGCAGAGAAUUGGCCCAAGCAACUGUUUAGCAAAAACACAGGUCUAUGCAAAACCGAAAGGUGAGGUAUAUGGGCUGACGCCUGCCCGGUGCUGGAAGGUUAAGGGGAGAGGUUAGCGCAAGCGAAGCUUUGAACUUAAGCCCCAGUAAACGGCGGCCGUAACAAUAACGGUCCUAAGGUAGCGAAAUUCCUUGUCGGGUAAGUUCCGACCCGCACGAAAGGCGUAAUGAUUUGGGCACUGUCUCAACAAUGCACCCGGUGAAAUUGAAAUACCAGUGAAGAUGCUGGUUACCUGCGCCAGGACGGAAAGACCCCAUGGAGCUUUACUCCAGCUUGAUACUGGGAUUCGGUAUUGCAUGUACAGGAUAGGUGGGAGGCUAGGAAAUGGUAACGCCAGUUGCCAUGGAGCCAAUGUUGGGAUACCACCCUUGCAGUACUGGGUUUCUAACCAGCAGCCGUGAUCCGGCUGGGGGACAAUGUCAGGUGGGGAGUUUGACUGGGGCGGUCGCCUCCGAAAGGGAAUCGGAGGCGCUCAAAGGUUCCCUCAGAAUGGUUGGAAACCAUUCGAAGAGUGCAAGGGCAGAAGGGAGCUUGACUGCGACACCGACGGGUGGAGCAGGUACGAAAGUAGGACUUAGUGAUCCGGUGGUAUAAAGUGGGAUUGCCAUCGCUCAACGGAUAAAAGCUACCCUGGGAUAACAGGCUUAUCACUCCCAAGAGUUCACAUCGACGGAGUGGUUUGGCACCUCGAUGUCGGCUCAUCGCAUCCUGGGGCUGAAGUAGGUCCCAAGGGUUGGGCUGUUCGCCCAUUAAAGCGGUACGCGAGCUGGGUUCAGGACGUCGUGAGACAGUUCGGUCCCUAUCCGGCGUGGGCGUAAGAUAUUUGAGAGGAGCUGUCCUUAGUACGAGAGGACCGGGAUGGACUGGCCGCUGGUGUAUCUGUUGUCUUACCAAAGGCAUAGCAGAGUGGCCAAGCCGGGAAGGGAUAAACGCUGAAGGCAUCUAAGCGUGAAGCCCCCCUCAAGAUGAGAUAUCUCAUAACGUCAAGUUAGUAAGACCCCUUGAAGACGACGAGGUAGAUAGGGCAGAGGUGGAAGUGUGGUAACACAUGGAGCUGACUGUUACUAAUAGGUCGAGGGCAUAACC